AUGCACCAGCUUGCUCGCUCGAUCCAGUCGUCCAUCAACGCUUUGAGACGGAACACCAUGCUCCAUGUAAAGCCCGAACUGGUUGACACGAACCCUAGCAGGCAUUCGAAAUCACUAAUUGUGGAGUACUCCUCGCAAAGAUCAUUCUCACUUUCUCAAGUUACGAUAAAUGACGCGUGCCACUUGUCGCAACCUGAUAGUUUUUCUUUUUUCAUAGAUUCAUUUAUUCAAAAUGUUUUAUCUUUUAAACCGUGUGUCCAAACCUUGAACCAUUUUUACUGUUGGAUUCCCCAUGUUGAGAUCUUUAAAACUAUAUCCCAUGUUGAUAGGUUUUGA
rnacentral:rRNA from 1 species